ACCAGAGUGGCGCAGCAGAAGCGAGCUGAGCUCAUAACCCAGAGAGUGAUGGAUUGAAACCAUCCUCUACUA
rnacentral:tRNA from 1 species